CAAUAGCGUAUAUUUAAGUUGUUGCAGUUAAAAAGCUCGUAGUUGGAUUUCGGGUGGGACGCAGCGGUCUCGCAUUGCGUUUGUACUGCUGCAGCCCUCCUUCUUGCCGGGGGCGGCCUCUCGGACUUCACUGUCUGGGGGUCAGAAUCGGCGAUGUUACUUUGAGUAAAUUAGAGUGGUCAAAGCAAGCUUACGCUCUGAAUAUAAUAGCAUGGGAUAACACGACAGGACUCUGGCCUAUCGUGUUGGUCUAUAGGACCAGAGUAAUGAUUAAGAGGGACAGUCGGGGGCAUUCGUAUUCCGUUGUCAGAGGUGAAAUUCUUGGAUUUACGGAAGACGAACAUCUGCGAAAGCAUUUGCCAAGGAUGUUUUCAUUGA
rnacentral:rRNA from 1 species